rnacentral:misc_RNA from 1 species
CCUGUUGCACUGGUAACACCGUUGGUCAAUCAGGCGUGGGUGCCGUUGCAUGCAGGCGAUCAUCGCAAAGCCAAAGCCUUAUUCGGAGAGAGUUUGGAACUAUCGAAUGAAUAUGGUAACAAGAACG